rnacentral:rRNA from 1 species
CGUCUAUAUACGUAUAGCAUAUCAAUAAGCGGAGGAAAAGAAACUAACAAGGAUUCCCUUAGUAACGGCGAGUGAAGCGGGAAGAGCUCAAAUUUGAAAUCUUCAAGGUUCUACCUUGACGAAUUGUAGUUUAUAGAAGUGUUUUCUGUUAGUGGAGUGGCAAAAGUUCUUUGGAAUAGGACAUCAUAGAGGGUGAGAAUCCCGUAUUUGGUCAUUCCUCCUAGCGUUGUGAUACACUUUCAACGAGUCGGACUGUUUGGGAAUGCAGUCCAAAAUGGGUGGUAAAUUUCAUCUAAAGCUAAAUACUGGCGAGAGACCGAUAGCGAACAAGUACCGUGAGGGAAAGAUGAAAAGAACUUUGAAAAGAGAGUUAAACAGUACGUGAAAUUGUCAAAAGGGAAGCGUUUGACACCAGUGUUGUUUUUCCGAAAAUCAAUUACGAAUGUUUUAUUUUUGAGGAGUUAUGACUUCAUCGGCUUGCUCCUUUCUUUAUGAAACUUUCUUAAUGCACUUUUCGGUUAACAAGUCAACAUCAAUUUCUUUUGUUGUAAAAGGGUAUGAGGAAGGUGGCCUUCUUUUCGGAGAAAGUGUUUAUAGCCUUGUGCCUCUGCAAUCGGAGAGAUUGAGGUCUGCAGCGUAGAUCCUUCGGGGUUAGAUACGUUUGUGCUAAGUUAUAGCUUUUCAUAGACAACUUGUUGACUAUGUUUAGUCUUGUAGCUUACUCGCUGACGCUAUUUUACCUACGCUUAGGAUGUUGACUGAUAUGUAGUCGUA